UACGUAGGGAGCGAGCGUUGUCCGGAUUCAUUGGGCGUAAAGAGCUCGUAGGCGGCUUGGCAAGUCGGGUGUGAAAACUCCAGGCUCAACCUGGAGACGCCACCUGAUACUGCCAUGGCUAGAGUCCGGUAGGGGACCACGGAAUUCCUGGUGUAGCGGUGAAAUGCGCAGAUAUCAGGAGGAGCACCGGUGGCGAAGGCGGUGGUCUGGGCCGGUAACUGGACGCUGGAGGAGCGAAAGCGUGGGGAGCGAACAGG
rnacentral:rRNA from 1 species